rnacentral:rRNA from 1 species
UGGGGAAUUUUGGACAAUGGGGAAACCCUGAUCCAGCCAUCCCGCGUGUGCGAUGAAGGCCUUCGGGUUGUAAAGCACUUUUGGCAGGAAAGAAACGUCGCGGGUUAAUACCCCGCGAAACUGACGGUACCUGCAGAAUAAGCACCGGCUAACUACGUGCCAGCAGCCGCGGUAAUACGUAGGGUGCAAGCGUUAAUCGGAAUUACUGGGCGUAAAGCGUGCGCAGGCGGUUCGGAAAGAAAGAUGUGAAAUCCCAGAGCUUAACUUUGGAACUGCAUUUUUAACUACCGGGCUAGAGUGUGUCAGAGGGAGGUGGAAUUCCGCGUGUAGCAGUGAAAUGCGUAGAUAUGCGGAGGAACACCGAUGGCGAAGGCACCUGCUGAACNCUGCGCUCAUGCACGAAAGCGUGGGGAGCAAACAGGAUUNGAUACCCUGGUAGUCACGCCCUAAACGAUGUCAACUGGCUGUU